GAACGAAAUCUUUAGGGAUUUAGUGGCGGACGGGUGAGUAACGCGUGAGAAUCUAGCUCUAGGUCUGGGACAACCACUGGAAACGGUGGCUAAUACCGGAUGUGCCGAGAGGUGAAAGGUUAACUGCCUAGAGAUGAGCUCGCGUCUGAUUAGCUAGUUGGAAGUGUAAUGGACUCCCAAGGCGACGAUCAGUAGCUGGUCUGAGAGGACGAUCAGCCACACUGGGACUGAGACACGGCCCAGACUCCUACGGGAGGCAGCAGUGGGGAAUUUUCCGCAAUGGGCGAAAGCCUGACGGAGCAAUACCGCGUGAGGGAGGAAGGCUCUUGGGUCGUAAACCUCUUUUCUCAGGGAAGAACACAAUGACGGUACCUGAGGAAUAAGCAUCGGCUAACUCCGUGCCAGCAGCCGCGGUAAUACGGAGGAUGCAAGCGUUAUCCGGAAUGAUUGGGCGUAAAGCGUCCGCAGGUGGCAAUGUAAGUCUGCUGUUAAAGAGUCUAGCUCAACUAGAUAAGAGCAGUGGAAACUACAUAGCUAGAGUACGUUCGGGGCAGAGGGAAUUCCUGGUGUAGCGGUGAAAUGCGUAGAGAUCAGGAAGAACACCGGUGGCGAAGGCGCUCUGCUAGGCCGUAACUGACACUGAGGGACGAAAGCUAGGGGAGCGAAUGGGAUUAGAUACCCCAGUAGUCCUAGCCGUAAACGAUGGAUACUAGGCGUGGCUUGUAUCGACCCGAGCCGUGCCGUAGCUAACGCGUUAAGUAUCCCGCCUGGGGAGUACGCCGGCAACGGUGAAACUCAAAGGAAUUGACGGGGGCCCG
rnacentral:rRNA from 1 species